GACGAACGCUGGCGGCGUGCUUAACACAUGCAAGUCGAACGGACAGACAGAGAGCUUGCUCUCUUGAAGUUAGUGGCGAACGGGUGAGUAACGCGUAAUCAACCUGCCCUUCAGAGGGGGAUAACAACGGGAAACCGUUGCUAAUACCGCGUACGAUUCAUGAACGGCAUCGUUUAUGAAUGAAAGGUGGCCUCUAUGUAUAAGCUAUCGCUGAAGGAGGGGAUUGCGUCUGAUUAGCUAGUUGGAGGGGUAACGGCCCACCAAGGCAAUGAUCGGUAGCCGGUCUGAGAGGGUGAACGGCCACAUUGGGACUGAGGCACGGCCCAAACUCCUACGGGAGGCAGCAGUGGGGAAUCUUCCGCAAUGGACGAAGGUCUGACGGAGCAACGCCGCGUGAGUGAUGAAGGUCUUCGGAUUGUAAAGCUCUGUUAAUCGGGACGAAAGAGUUCUGCGUGAAUAAUGCAGAAAAGUGACGGUACCGGAAUAGAAAGCCACGGCUAACUACGUGCCAGCCGCCGCAGUAA
rnacentral:rRNA from 1 species